rnacentral:rRNA from 1 species
GGCGGCGUGCCUAAUACAUGCAAGUCGAGCGAAUGGAUUAAGAGCUUGCUCUUAUGAAGUUAGCGGCGGACGGGUGAGUAACACGUGGGUAACCUGCCCAUAAGACUGGGAUAACUCCGGGAAACCGGGGCUAAUACCGGAUAACAUUUUGAACUGCAUGGUUCAAAAUUGAAAGGCGGCUUCGGCUGUCACUUAUGGAUGGACCCGCGUCGCAUUAGCUAGUUGGUGAGGUAACGGCUCACCAAGGCAACGAUGCGUAGCCGACCUGAGAGGGUGAUCGGCCACACUGGGACUGAGACACGGCCCAGACUCCUACGGGAGGCAGCAGUAGGGAAUCUUCCGCAAUGGACGAAAGUCUGACGGAGCAACGCCGCGUGAGUGAUGAAGGCUUUCGGGUCGUAAAACUCUGUUGUUAGGGAAGAACAAGUGCUAGUUGAAUAAGCUGGCACCUUGACGGUACCUAACCAGAAAGCCACGGCUAACUACGUGCCAGCAGCCGCGGGUAAUACGUAGGUGGCAAGCGUUAUCCGGAAUUAUUGGGCGUAAAGCGCGCGCAGGUGGUUUCUUAAGUUCUGAUGUGAAAGCCCACGGCUCAACCGUGGAGGGUCAUUGGAAANUGGG